UACGAAGGGGGCUAGCGUUGCUCGGAAUCACUGGGCGUAAAGCGCACGUAGGCGGAUUGUUAAGUCAGGGGUGAAAUCCUGGAGCUCAACUCCAGAACUGCCUUUGAUACUGGCGAUCUUGAGUCCGGGAGAGGUGAGUGGAACUGCGAGUGUAGAGGUGAAAUUCGUAGAUAUUCGCAAGAACACCAGUGGCGAAGGCGGCUCACUGGCCCGGUACUGACGCUGAGACGCGAAAGCGUGGGGAGCGAACAGG
rnacentral:rRNA from 1 species